rnacentral:lncRNA from 1 species
GUAGUAAUAGUAAUAGAAAACUCCUUCCAGACUGGGUGUGAGCGUUAGCUCAUGGAUGCCGCUUACUCAGAAGCUGAGUGUAUUCCAGGCGUUACGCUGUAUCAAGAGAACUACAGGCUAAGGGUAAUGAGCAGGUCUGGUCUUGGGCAGAGGUCCUGAGGCUAAAAAAGAAGGGGCACGUAAUCCCACAACGAAGCUCAACUGUGGCUGGAAUGCUGGUAACAGAACCUUGUACAGUUAAGUUAUGCGCUCUCCUAAUCCCUCACACAACUGCACUUUGCCUUCAUGAAGAUGUUCUUCCUGUUCUAGAUGUCUGUUUCUCCUACUAGGACUUCGAUUCAAAGAUCCCCACCUUCGUGUGCUCAAGCUCCUACACCAGUGAAUGAAACAACAAGGCACUCCUAAGUGAAUGGACAGGAAAGACCUGUCAUCAGACCCUAUCCGCAGUAGUUAACAGGUCAUCUAAGAAUAUAUGGCUUGAUCGUCAGACAAAACCCUUAGUCAAGAUGAAUAGCUAAUCCAGAAGGACCACACUCAUGAAGAUGCUCAAACCUUACGUCUCACUUCUGCUUUUCCUGCUGUGGCAUUCAAAAGGAACUGCACCUAUAAAUAUACCUUG